rfam:Papio anubis isolate 1X1155 chromosome 9, whole genome shotgun sequence.
UCUGGGUGCAGUGGCAUGCGUACCUGUAGUCCUGGCCACUUGGGAGACUGAGGCAGGAGGCUCACUUGAGCCCAGGAGUUCAGAGUUGUAGUCGAUUAGGUGUCUGCACUAAGCUUGCCAUCAAUAUAGUGACCUCCUGGGAGUGGGGGACGACAGGUUCCCUAAGGAGGGGUGAACUGGUCCAGGUUGGAAACAAGGGAAUGUUAAAAAUACCAUGGGCACGGUAGCUCACACCUGUAAUCCUAGCACUUUGGGAGGCUGCGGCAGGAGGAUCAAUUGAGCCCAGGAGUUGGAGAUCAGCCUGGGUAAUGCAGUGAGACCCUGUCCCUA